rnacentral:rRNA from 1 species
UGGGGAAUCUUGGACAAUGGGCGCAAGCCUGAUCCAGCCAUGCCGCGUGAGCGAUGAAGGCCUUAGGGUUGUAAAGCUCUUUCACCGGUGAAGAUAAUGACGGUAGCCGGAGAAGAAGUUCCGGCUAACUCCGUGCCAGCAGCCGCGGUAAUACGGAGGGAACUAGCGUUGUUCGGAAUUACUGGGCGUAAAGCGUGCGUAGGCGGCUUUGCAAGUAGAGGGUGAAAUCCCAGAGCUCAACUCUGGAACUGCCCCCUAAACUGCAGAGCUAGAAUCCUGGAGAGGUGAGUGGAAUUCCGAGUGUAGAGGUGAAAUUCGUAGAUAUUCGGAGGAACACCAGUGGCGAAGGCGGCUCGCUGGCCAGAUACUGACGCUGAGGUGCGAAAGUGUGGGGGAGCAAAACAGGAUUAGAUACCCUGGUAGUCCACACCGUAAACGAUGAAUGCCAGUCGUCGGGUAGCAUGCUAUUCGGUGACACA